rnacentral:rRNA from 1 species
AGCAGCCGCGGUAAUUCCAGCUCCAAUAGCGUAUACUAAAGUUGUUGCAGUUAAAAAGCUCGUAGUUGAAUUUCGGGAUCAAUAUGUUGGUCGUGCCUUGGUACGUACUGGCAUUAUCGAUUCCUACCUUCUGAAGAACCUCGAUGUCAUUAAUUUGGUGUCGUGGGGAAUCAGGACUGUUACUUUGAAAAAUUAGAGUGUUUAAAGCAGGCUCACGCUUGAAUACAUUAGCAUGGAAUAAUGAAAUAGGACGUUUGAUUCUAUUUUGUUGGUUUCUAGGAUCGACGUAAUGAUUAAUAGGGAUAGUUGGGGGCAUUAGUAUUCAAUUGUCAGAGGUGAAAUUCUUGGAUUUAUUGAAGACUAACUACUGCGAAAGCAUUUGCCAAGGAUGUUUUCAUUAAUCAAGAACGAAAGUUAGGGGAUCGAAGACGAUCAGAUACCGUCGUAGUC